AUUCAUAUAAACUUACUUUCGAUUUUAUUCGAAAGGAUGGUCACGAUACAUAAAUUUGAACGGAUACGUUGCACAAGUUCUAAGAAGUACAGGACGCUUUGAGCAAGACGUCCACCACACCAAGGGCAUAUGCCUGCCACGCCUCGAGUAUUAUAGACGAUAAAUAAGUACCCACGACAUCCUUCUCAGAGGAACAUCAAACGAUUGAUAAUUGCCAACAUAAAUCACGAGUUUUCCAUUAGGUGGGCACUAUUUGUGUCAGAAUAGCGUUCUUUGAGUUCACUCCAUCGAAGCGAUCCAACAUCAAGCGAUAUCAAAAACGUGAAACAAAAAUCAUGCAGAUUUUAGCAAUAUAUCGUCUGCUGAUCCAAAGUGGAUGGAUAUGGCUCCAGCAGUCCAGCAAGUCUUUAACAAGACGGAUCACGCGCGUUGGGAGUAUAAAGGCAAAAUGGCGUUCAAUAGACACAAGGCCCGUAGCCUGGGUUUUGAAAAAGGGGGUCCGAACUUUCCCAACAACGAUUAUUAUUUAGCAUCGAAGUGGUGAAAGGGGUAGGUGCGAGAGGGAUGUCCCAAUCCUGCAAUCGGGGAGUUUGAAUGACUUUUUAUCUGUAUUAAGAGACUGAAGCUAUAGAACAUUUUUAUAUAAAAUCUCACUUUCAUUGACCAUACUCAGUGACUGAUCGAUAAAUAUGAUAAAACAUACAUGUAUGCCCCACUACCGUUUUUUAAUAACCACCUUUUUUGGAAAUACAUUAUUGUAUACGGUGUUUUACCCGACACUAGUAUGCGUACACAUACUUUAUUUACAUAUGAAACAACAAUUUUAUAGAAUGUACAAUCAUCAAUAAG